UACGUAGGGCGCAAGCGUUAUCCGGAAUUAUUGGGCGUAAAGAGCUCGUAGGCGGUUUGUCGCGUCUGCCGUGAAAGUCCGGGGCUCAACUCCGGAUCUGCGGUGGGUACGGGCAGACUAGAGUGAUGUAGGGGAGACUGGAGUUCCCGGUGUAGCGGUGAAAUGCGCAGAUAUCAGGAGGAACACCGAUGGCGAAGGCAGGUCUCUGGGCAUUAACUGACGCUGAGGAGCGAAAGCAUGGGGAGCGAACAGG
rnacentral:rRNA from 1 species